GCAGAAGUACCCAAGUGGCUCAAGGGGCUCCCCUGCUAAGGGAGUAGUACGGGAAUACCGUAGCGCGGGUUCAAAUCCCGCCUUCUGCGCCA
rnacentral:tRNA from 1 species